rnacentral:rRNA from 1 species
AUUGAACGCUGGCGGCAUGCUUUACACAUGCAAGUCGAACGGCAGCACGGGAGCUUGCUCCUGGUGGCGAGUGGCGAACGGGUGAGUAAUGCAUCGGAACGUACCCAGUAGUGGGGGAUAGCCCGGCGAAAGCCGGAUUAAUACCGCAUAUUUCCUGAGGGAGAAAGCGGGGGACCUUCGGGCCUCGCGCUACUGGAGCGGCUGAUGUCGGAUUAGCUAGUUGGUGAGGUAAAGGCUCACCAAGGCGACGAUCCGUAGCUGGUCUGAGAGGAUGAUCAGCCACACUGGGACUGAGACACGGCCCAGACUCCUACGGGAGGCAGCAGUGGGGAAUUUUGGACAAUGGGGGCAACCCUGAUCCAGCCAUGCCGCGUGAGUGAAGAAGGCCU